AUUGAGUAUACAUGGUAAGAGAGAGGGAGACUUAAGAGCUUCUAAUUUAAUUACAUAAAUGGUAAGACACAGCUGCGAUUAACCCUUUAUCCGAAAGCCAAGCGCUAGGUACACCUUAUGAGUAAGCUACAAUAUCAAUCUUACUGGGAUCGAGUUGUUGUCCUUCUUAACACGUAAG